CCUACGGGUGGCAGCAGUGAGGAAUAUUUGUCAAUGGGCGCGAGCCUGAACCAGCCAAGUCGCGUGAGGGAGGACGGCCCUACGGGUUGUAAACCUCGUUUGACGGGGAGCAACGGGCGCCACGUGUGGCGUCACUGAGAGUACCCGGAGAAAAAGCAUCGGCUAACUCCGUGCCAGCAGCCGCGGUAAUACGGAGGAUGCGAGCGUUCUCCGGAUGUAUUGGGUUUAAAGGGUGCGUAGGCGGAUCGUUAAGUCAGUGGUCAAAUUGAGGGGCUCAACCCCUUCCCGCCAUUGAAACUGGCGUUCUUGAGUGGAAGAGAAGUAUGCGGAAUGCGUGGUGUAGCGGUGAAAUGCAGAGAUAUCACGAAGAACACCGAUUGCGAAGGCAGCAUGCCGGCUUCCGACUGACGCUGAAGCACGAAAGCGUGGGGAUCGAACAGGAUUAGAUACCCUUGUAGUC
rnacentral:rRNA from 1 species